GGGAUUGCCCCAGUAACGGCGAGUGAAGCGGCAACAGCUCAAAUUUGAAAUCUGGCUCCCCGCGGGCCCGAGUUGUAAUUUGCAGAGGAUGCUUUUGGCGCGGCGCCUUCCGAGUGCCCUGGAACGGGACGCCAUAGAGGGUGAGAGCCCCGUCCGGUCGGACGCCUAGCCUCUGUAAAGCUCCUUCGACGAGUCGAGUAGUUUGGGAAUGCUGCUCCAAACGGGAGGUAUAUGUCUUCCAAAGCUAAAUACUGGCCAGAGACCGAUAGCGCACAAGUAGAGUGAUCGAAAGAUGAAAAGCACUUUGAAAAGAGGGUUAAACAGUACGUGAAAUUGUUGAAAGGGAAGCGCUUGUGACCAGACUCGGGCGCGGCGAAUCACCCGGCGUUCUCGCCGGUGCACUUCGACGCGCCCGGGCCAGCAUCAGCUCGCCGCGGGGGACAAAGGCGCCGGGAACGUGGCUCCCCAGGGAGUGUUAUAGCCCGGCGCGCAACGCCCUGCGGCGGGCCGAGGUUCGCGCGUCCGCAAGGAUGCUGGCGUAAUGGUCACCAGUGACCCGUCUUGAAACACGGACCAAGGAGUCGUCCUCGUAUGCGAGUGUUCGGGUGUCAAACCCCUACGCGCAAUGAAAGUGAACGCUGGUGAGAGCCUCGCGGCGCAUCAUCGACCGAUCCUGAUGUCCUCGGAUGGAUUUGAGUAGGAGCAUACGGGGCCGGACCCGAAAGAAGGUGAACUAUGCCUGUGUAGGGUGAAGCCAGAGGAAACUCUGGUGGAGGCUCGCAGCGGUUCUGACGUGCAAAUCGAUCGUCAAACAUGGGCAUGGGG
rnacentral:rRNA from 1 species